AACGAACGCUGGCGGCAGGCUUAACACAUGCAAGUCGAGCGCCCCGCAAGGGGAGCGGCAGACGGGUGAGUAACGCGUGGGAAUCUACCCAUCUCUACGGAAUAACGCAUGGAAACGUGUGCUAAUACCGUAUACGUCCUUCGGGAGAAAGAUUUAUCGGAGAUGGAUGAGCCCGCGUUGGAUUAGCUAGUUGGUGGGGUAAAGGCCUACCAAGGCGACGAUCCAUAGCUGGUCUGAGAGGAUGAUCAGCCACACUGGGACUGAGACACGGCCCAGACUCCUACAGGAGGCAGCAGUGGGGAAUAUUGGACAAUGGGCGCAAGCCUGAUCCAGCCAUGCCGCGUGAGUGAUGAAGGCCCUAGGGUUGUAAAGCUCUUUCUCCGGUGAAGAUAAUGACGGUAACCGGAGAAGAAGCCCCGGCUAACUUCGUGCCAGCAGCCGCCGUAACAC
rnacentral:rRNA from 1 species